rnacentral:lncRNA from 1 species
UUCUUCUGUCCUGUGGAAAAAACAUGCUUAACAUUAAUCUUGCUCUGUUAUGGCAGGCCAGUUAUUGAUCAGAAUCUGUAUUAUUUGGGAAUGAAGUACACAACAGCAACCUUUGCAGUUUCCAUGUACAAUAUCCUUCCUGCCAUCACUUUCCUCAUGGCUUACAUUCUUAAGUACUGUUUCUAUUCCCUACCAUUAAAGAAUAUUUCAGAUUUGAUAAAAAAGCUAAACAGAACAUAGCUCAAUAAUGAGGAUUAUUAAAUAAGUGUGCAUAACAUCUUUUAAUACAUGUUGUCACUCAAAAUUAUGUACAACUCAUCUCUUAUUAACUUGGUUUAGGAGGCUGAGUUUGUAAUCAGUGUUUUAAACUGUGAUUGCGGUACCGUCACGGUUGCGCUGCGGUCCUUUCUAUUGCAGAAAAUUGUGAAUAAAUGUGAUUGUCGCGACAAAAAUCACCGUCGCGUUACGUUUUGAAAACCUCCAAAACUUUGAUGUCGUGGCCGAUCACAGUCGCGAACCUUGAUUGAAAACCAUGCUUAUAAUUAAAAGAGUUUCUUGUGCCAUUUGUACUCAAUUUAUAAAAAAUUUAAUUUAAGCAUUUUAUUUUCAGGCUAGAGAAGAUAAAAAUAAAAAGUAUACGUAGUCAAGCAAAGGUGUUUGGGACUUUAGCCACUGUUGCAGGUGCCAUGGUGAUGACACUAAUAAAAGGCCCUGAACUUGAGCUUUUUGGGACUCAUGGAGGAAGCAGUACCCACAUCCAGCAUAAUGGUGGGGUAAACCUUCAACAUGCAAUAAAGGGAUCAGUGAUGAUCACAAUUGGGUGCUUUAGUUUUGCAGGUUUCAUGAUUCUCCAAGUGAGUUUUUCCUCUAUCAACUUUCAGCUAUGAAAAAAGUAAAUAUAGUGCUAUAAAGCUCCCGUUAUACUCGAGAUCUAGAGAGAGACCAGAUCAAUUUUUAAGAAUUUAAUAUUGGCAGUCUUAUACCUUGCAAAAAUGCAAGAGACUUAUUUCACGGCUCAAAUCUGUGAUCGACUGCAAAGUCACAUGACAACAACCUUACCAUUGCGUUGAGACUCGCACUCGUGUUUUUCAUCUAUCCAAAUAAAUAAAUUUUCUUUUAGUUUGAUGGGGUACCCUAAUCUGAUAUAGUUUCACUUUCAUCUUUUUCUCUAGGCUAUUACCCUUGAAGCCUACCCUGCUGAUCUCUCUCUCACAGCAUGGAUAUGUUUGUUGGGAACAGUUGAAGGUGGCAUAGUUGCCCUGGUUAUGGAAAGGGGUAACCCUGCUCCAGUUUGGUCUUUGAAUUGGAAUACAAGUUUGUUGGCUGCUGUCUACGGUGUAAGUUCUUUAAUUUUAUACUGAACAGUGAAAACUGAAAACAACCUCCAGUUCUUGACCAGCCAUAAAAUUAAAGAAUGCACAUUUACCACCGAUAGAGUUUAAGAAGAUAAUCCAAAAAAGUCCAUAGAAUCAACACUGAAAUCCAACUGCAUUAAAAAAAUAUACUAAAACAUAAAAGAGAUUUUGGAGGACAUGAAUUAUACAUGUCAACUGCUUCUUCAUGAAAUUUUCUUCUCACCAUAUUAGCAUCUUCCCUCCCAAUGUUUCAAGUUUAUAUAUGAAUAUAUGACAAAAGAGCUGUUGUGUUCGGAAGAGCUUACCUUAUAAUAUAAGCAUUUAAAUAAUUGUUUGAGUCAACCGACGAAAAUAAUUCAUUUGUUAUACACUUAUAUACUCUUUUGAGCUUAUUUUUAUAAGUUUCUUCAAAUAACAUAUGAAUAAGCACUUAUAUAUAUUUUUAAGCAGUUUUAAACUUAUUUUAAUAAGUUUUUAAAAAUAGGCUUAUGAAUAAUCAAGCACUUCCGUGAUAAGUACUUACUGGCAUAAAUACUUAAGCUGUUUGCCGUGAAUGUUCUUCCUCUAUAAAUUUCUAAAAUUUAUUUGCAGGGCAUAGUUUGCUCUGGAAUGACUUAUUACAUCCAAGGAGCAGUGAUGAAAUACAAAGGCCCAGUCUUUGUAACAACAUUCAGUCCUCUAUGCAUGAUCAUUGUGGCUAUACUGGGCUCUUUUAUUUUGGCUGAGCAAAUGUAUCUUGGAAGGUAAUCAUAAAUAUCGAGUACAACUAAUAAAUCAUCUUUUCUUGUUUAGUGUUUCCAUCACUGUUCAACUAAUAAAAUUGUGUCAUGUCAUUCAGUUGACAUUAUACAAUUUUAUUGAUGGGAUAGAGGAUGAGACACAAACAGAGACAUAAAAUCUUAACCCCCACAACAUAUGCCUAAAGACCUCAAUCAAAAAAUAAAUUUAUGAAAAAGUUGAACUGAAGUAUAUAUCUUGUGCUAAAUUUUACAGGGUGAUUGGAGCCAUUGUCAUUCUUUUAGGGUUGUAUCUAGUGGUGUGGGGUAAAAACAAAGAUUAUGACUCACCACCAAGUCCAAUUAUUAACGAGCAUGUAUUGCCAGAUAAGCAAACUACAGAGAGCAAUGCCAAGGACAAGGAGAAGCCUUCUAAUCACGAGCUUAUCACUAUUAGUAACAUUGGUGCAGGAAACUUAGCUCAAUAUGAACAAGUAUGAAGGGAUACACUAAAUUAAAUCCAAAAAGUUUAGUUAUCCUAUGAUGUUCUACUUUCAGUCUACCAAUCCAAAUGCCAUUUAACAAUCUCAACUAUAUAUAGGCUCCUAGUUAAUUGUUCGACCUUUCGAUUAUGAUGUAAUAGUUAAGGUUUUUAUGUAACAACAUAGCAUGUCAGAAUAUGACAACAAAAUACCAUGUAUUGGAGGGGAAGUGCAUCCAUGUAUUGUAGGUUUGAGAAAAUAUUCCUUCAACAUGCCUAUUGUUGUCAUGCUGGAUUUGUAUUAAGGUUGAAUUGUAUACUUCUUUGUUUUGGCUUUGUUCAUGGUUUUGAAUAUUUGAGUAAGAAUAAUGUUUGGCUCCCAUCCAUUUCCACCUCCAUCUCUUUAAAUGUGAAGAGAAAUUAGAAAAAUAAGGAAUAUGAUAUGUGAUGUGACAGGAAAUGCAGAGAGAUAUAGAAAGAAAAAUGAGUGGAAAAAAAAUGGAAGAGAAAGUGAAGUGUGAAUGCAACAUUACUCAACAUCUCUUUGAGUAAUGAUGCUUAGCACUCCAAAGUUGGACAAUUUGACUAUCUGUGUGUAAGACGGCAUAUAUAUAUAUAUAUAUAUAUAUAUAUAUAUAUAUAUAUAUAUAUAUAUAUUGGAUGUUUGUUAAAUGAAGAGUUAGAACAUGGACUCUAAUCUCCUACCUCCCGCAAAGAGUCACUGCACAAACAUUAAAAAAGAAAAUUAAUUAAGAAGAACUCCCUAAAUUUCAAAACGAGAGCAACGUCCAUGACAACCCAAUGGAAAGAGGAAUAACAAGAAAGUCUUUAGGGGCGUUUAUUACAAGUUAUCAAAAAUCAUUUUCGGGUAAGUGGAUUCCCAGGAAUACUAUGAUGAGAAUGUUAUUUCUGACAUCUUUUAAAAAACUGUUUGAUUGAUAAAUUCAAUUCCUAGUAUGUUUUUAAAAUUCAUUUAAUUAAAAUAUUUAAAAAUAUAAAAUUUAAAGGAAAAAGAGAAGUUAGUGGGAAAUAACUUCUAUUUCCAUGGCAAUGCAAGAUAUCAUAUCAUCCAUCCUUGAACAUGGAAAUAAAGUUUGGAGAAAAACAAUGUAAAUUGCAUGUCUGAGAAUCCACAAUAUCUGAGAAUACUUUUUUCUGAAACUUAUACCAAACAUGAGAAUGUUACAUUCCCAACCUAACUUACAUGAGAAUGUUUAAAGAUCCCUUCUACCAAACGCAAGCAAAAUCAUCAGAUAGCAUUUAUUCAUGAAAGGAACCCAUUUAUAAAACCAAAUACAUCAAUCAAUCAAUAAAAGUUUAAACUCACCAAUAUGAAUUGCAUUCAUCUGCUACAUAUUUCAUUCGUGUGAGAAGAAAUAAGCUAAUUAGUACAAGUUUUGACUUGUUUUGACUUUUGAGGUGAAAUGGAUUGUUAUUGUUGAGUAUGGCUCAUGGCGAUCAAAUGCAUUUGAGACCAUCUAUGAUCGCUGGAAUGUACAUGAGACCACCUUUGAGAAGCUUCAACAAUUUAAGGAUGCUACGAUGAUUAUAAAUUAAGAGGGAGUGUUAAAUGAUAGUUAAUUUAUAACUUGAAAAGUUAUGAAUGAGUUAAAUUUUGUUUAUGUCCUUUUAUGCAUUUCUUAGUGGUUACAAGCAUAAUGAUGCUAGAAGUUAAUGUCCUUUAUGUAGUUGCAUAACUUAUAUCCUUUCAUCUUCUCUAUUCACUAGUAUUAAAUAGAGAAGCAUUCUAACUUCUACAUUAAGAAAUAUCAGAAAAAUAAAAAAGUCUCUAUCAUUUUCCUAAAUUUUCUACUACUACACUUCUGCUUCUCCAAGAGGCAUCAAAAGGAAAACAAAACAAGUGAAUGAUAUUAUAAAAUCUAUUCCAUGAUGAGUAAACAUUCAACUAGGCAAAAGGUGAUAAUCAUUGAAAGCAGACACCGGCCUUACUGAGUAUGUUGAUUACUGGGACUCCCCACUUGGUUAUGUAAAAUAGUUGAGCUCCACUAUGUAUAGGUAUAUUGCACUAUAAUAUUCUACUGAAUUUUGAGCACUUGUUUACUAAAUACCUCACCUUCUUAUUUAUAGAAAUGAGAAUUUAGUAAAUUGGUUAUUUUGUUCCAAUUAGCUGAAACGAGAUGGAAGGUUAUAGUCCAAAAUGGUUUCAUAAAGCCAAGCCAUUCAUAUGUGUCGUGUUCAUUCAAUCUGGAUAUGCAGGUAUGGAUGUUCUGUGCAAGGCUGCAUUGAACAAUGGAAUGAGCAAUUAUGUUCUUGUUGUCUACCGUCAUGUUGUUGCCUUUGUUGUCAUGGCUCCUUUUGCAUUGAUCUUGGACAAGUAUGUAUCUCUCUUCCAUGUGUGUGUGAUAGCUUUUAUUUCUUCAGAAUCAAUUACAGAACUCAAAAAGCUAUGUAUUCACAAAAGUUUCACACACAUGUUUAGAUCAGUUCUUCUUUAAUUUCAUCAGAAUCAAUUCUGAAAUGCUUCUCACAAAAAAAGCUGCUGUGCAGAAUUGACUCUGGCUUCCGAAUCAAUUGUAGAAUAGUUCCCGAACAGUAGAAUGAUUUCCAAAUAUUAACUGACCUGAUGCUACAUUCUCUUAACAGGAACAUAAGGCCAAAGAUGACAUUUUCAAUCUUUGUGAAGAUAGUGGCACUGAGCUUGUUAGAGUAAUAAUUAAUUUCUUACAUGACUAAGCUAAACAUAUUCUUCUAUCCUGUGGAAAAAUCUUGCUUAACAUAGAUCUUGCUCUGAUAUGGCAGGCCAGUUAUUGCUCAGAAUCUGUAUUUUUUGGGAAUGAAGUACACAACAGCAACCUUUGCAGUUUCCAUGUACAAUAUCCUUCCUGCCAUCACUUUCCUCAUGGCUUACAUUCUUAAGUACUGUUUCCAUUCCCUACAAUUUAAGAAUAUUUCAAAUUUGAUAAUAAAGCUAAACAGAACAUGGCUCAAUAAUGAGGAUUAUUAAAUAAGUGUACAUAACAUUUUUUAAUACAUAUUGUUACUAAAAAUAAUGUACGACUCAUCUCUUAUUAACUUGGUUUAGGAGGUGUAAAUAAGCGUGACUGUUAUGAAAAAAACAUGGCCGCGUUCCGUUUUAAAAACCUCCAAAACCUUAAUGUCGUGGCCGAAAUCACAUUCAUGAAUGUUGAUUUAAAACCAUGCUUGUAAUCAAAAGAGUUUCUUGUGCCAUUUGUACUCAAUUUAUUAGAAAUUUAAUUUAAGCAUUUUAUUUUC